rnacentral:misc_RNA from 1 species
AAGUCGUAACAAGGUUUCCGUAGGUGAACCUGCGGAAGGAUCAUCAACAAAAGGGAAAAGUGCGUGGCGGGCGCAAGCCCGUUUCACGUUCAUUCCCGAAAAUCCUGUAUUCACCCCAAGUUCCUUAAAAAUUUUAAUAAAAAACUCUGCAAAAGACCACCUACGAUCAGGUGGCAUCUAAUGCAAAAGCGAAAACUUUCAACAACGGAUCUCUUGGCUCUC